AUUGAACGCUGGCGGCAGGCCUAACACAUGCAAGUCGAGCGAGCGGCGGACGGGUGAGUAAUGUCUGGGAACCUGCCAGAUUGAGGGGGAUAACUACUGGAAACGGUAGCUACUACAGCCUACCAUCAUAUUUGCCCAGAUGGGAUUAGCUAGUAGGUGGGGUAAUGGCUCACCUAGGCGAGGGUCCUUAGCUGGUCUUAGAGGAUGACAAGCCAAACUGGAACUGAGCCACGGUCCAGACUCCUAAGGGAGGCAGCAGUGGGGAAUAUUGCACAAUGGGCGCAAGCCUGAUGAAGCCAUGCCGCGUGUGUGAAGAAGGCCUUCGGGUUGUAAAGCACUUUCAGCGGGGAGGCGUUACCCGCAGAAGAAGCACCGGCUAACUCCGUGCCAGCAGCCGCGGUAAUAC
rnacentral:rRNA from 1 species